UAUGGAGAGUUUGAUCCUGGCUCAGGACGAACGCUGGCGGCGUGCCUAAUACAUGCAAGUCGAGCGGAGCACUUCGGUGCUUAGCGGCGGACGGGUGAGUAACACGUAGGCAACCUGCCUAUAAGACUGGGAUAACUAUCGGAAACGAUAGCUAAGACCGGAUAACUGGUUUUCUCGCAUGAGAGAGUCAUGAAACACGGAGCAAUCUGUGGCUUAUAGAUGGGCCUGCGGCGCAUUAGCUAGUUG
rnacentral:rRNA from 2 species